GACGAACGCUGGCGGCGUGCCUAAUACAUGCAAGUUGAGCGCUGAAGGUUGGUACUUGUACCAACUGGAUGAGCAGCGAACGGGUGAGUAACGCGUGGGGAAUCUGCCUUUGAGCGGGGGACAACAUUUGGAAACGAAUGCUAAUACCGCAUAAAAACUUUAAACACAAGUUUUAAGUUUGAAAGAUGCAAUUGCAUCACUCAAAGAUGAUCCCGCGUUGUAUUAGCUAGUUGGUGAGGUAAAGGCUCACCAAGGCGAUGAUACAUAGCCGACCUGAGAGGGUGAUCGGCCACAUUGGGACUGAGACACGGCCCAAACUCCUACGGGAGGCAGCAGUAGGGAAUCUUCGGCAAUGGACGAAAGUCUGACCGAGCAACGCCGCGUGAGUGAAGAAGGUGUUCGGAUCGUAAAACUCUGUUGGUAGAGAAGAACGUUGGUGAGAGUGGAAAGCUCAUCAAGUGACGGUAACUACCCAGAAAGGGACGGCUAACUACGUGC
rnacentral:rRNA from 1 species